rnacentral:misc_RNA from 1 species
UCUGCAUUCUGUCUAAAUUCUGUCGAUUGCUCUUCACCUUACAUUGCCACAUCUCUAUCCCUUUGAGAAGCUAGCAACUGUAGAGUGCAUUGGUUCUCAAUUGAUGAUGAAGUGCACAAAGGAUGCUUCUGCUAACUUUUCACUGUCCAUUGGAUAAUGAAGCAUAUUGAUAGGUUCAACACUGGAAUUACCCAUUGCCUUCAAUUGACAAGGUAUCACCAGGACGAAUUUAUUCUCUUUUAAAGUAAUGAAUUGGAGUGCUUGCAAGACAUUGGCUUCUUUUGAAUUUUAGAAAGGUGUAACAACAUCUUCUACCUUCACCUCCAUUAUUCUUAUGACGAUCUGUGCAUCAGCAUUUCAAAAAGAAAUAAUAUGUUUUUCUAUCUCUAAAUUCUAGUUUAAAAAACUUUAAUCUCUCGCCAGUUUCAGCCUCUUGCUGCUCUUGAACAUCCAGAGAUUUUAAAAAAGAUUCUACAGAAAAUUUGAUUUUUCAGAAACAUAUUUCCAAUAUCUCACGUUACUUGUAUUAGUACUUGAGAGCAAUUUGCGAAUUUUUGUUUUAUUUUAUUUCUUUUUAAUUGUGUACAGGAAGGAGCAAUUUCGAAGUUGAAGCUUCCUAAUAAAGAUUAUAAAUCUUCAUUAUGGUUCCUUUUUCCAGUAUGACAAAGAUGAAACAGAUCAUCAGCUGCUUCUACAAGAUAUAUUUCUCUCUGUCCAAUAAGUAAAUCAACCGCCUACUUUGUUUGAGUUCCACUGCUGGAAGGAUUUUGCAUUCAAUACAUUUGGAAUCAAUUUUGCAUCUUCAGAAGCAGUAAGCAUUUGCAAUCUUUUUUGGACCAAUAGAUGCUACACAAUAUGCAAGUCAUAAGAUGAGGACCCAAUUUUAAGCAAGUUUUGAGAUCAAAGCAAUCAAUCCCCAAGGUCUCACUGUGAUUUUUGAAAGGUAUAAAAACAUUUUUCUAAUUUGGUCUCUCCUGCAUUUUUUAUAAGUUGAUAUCAUUGCCAUAUAAUGGAGCGCUUUUGAGAAUAGAGGACGACAUGAAUUCCCUGGUUCUUCUUUCUGAAUAAGAUGGAUGCCAAAUGUCUUAGAGAAGGAGCAGUGGGGACAGUGGAUGCCAUGAAUACCCCAGUUCUUCUUUCAGAAUAGGCAGCUUUUGACUCAGCUGUGAAGGAAUGGUCUGCUGUCGUGACAAAAAGGCUUCAGAAUAGGCAAUGGUAAAUAUCACAUGACCUUGCGAAUGGUGGUUUAGCUAGCGAAGAACUAAAUGGAUCAGACGGUUAAUUACAUGUAUUAAUUAUUAAUACAUGUAAUUUCUUUGAAAAGUGGAUUAGUUGUAAAUACUGCAGAGAGCUAAAGACCAACAUUUUAAUUCAGCAACUUGUUCAUUGGCUAGUGAACCAGCCCGCCACCGACCAAAUCCAUAUUCUUCAGCCAAGAAUCUAGCCAAUCCUAGCUAGUCACCAAACCCACCUCAAAUCGUCCUGAUGAAGUUUUUCUAGGCAGCGUAGAAGUGAGAAACAAUUGAACUGAGAGUAGGGAAUUGCGGCUGCCAAGCAUACCUCUGGUUUCUCCGACAACCAGCCAGCCACUUCUUUGCCUCCUUAGACGCUGAAUAAACCUCUCCUAGCUGCAUUUUCGCUGACCAAGAGGGAAGAAAAUCGAAGCUUUGAAGGAUUUUUUUGAGGGCUUCAAUUUCCGCUGUGCAUGGUGGCUGCCAUUGUAGUCCCCAGCAGCUCAGCUACCUAUAGAAUUUUUAAUUCUAAAAUGGUGAUUUAUGAAUCUUUGUUGUGUGCAUAUAAAUUGAGUUGUGGGUUUGAAUGAUAUGAGUUAAAUUGUGAAUAUAAUUCAGCACAUUAACGCUCUGCAAAGCCUUGAAAUCCGUUGGUGUCGUAAUUUGUUGUCUUUGCCACACUGCAAUCUUUAAGAGUCUUUGAUUUUGAUUCACUUUCGGAAAGAUGCAAACAAAACACUGCUUAGUAUCGGACCGAAUUUGC